CAAAUUAACGCCUCUCUAGGAAUGCUAAUAACAUUCCAAAAAUACAUUAAAUUAUUAAAGUUACGUCAUUUGACGUUUAGUUUAAUGUUUUAAUAUUAAUUUUAUUAAAAUUAUUGAAAUAAAUAAAAAAAAAUCCUUUGUCGGAAAAUCUCGCAGGGAAGGCAGUUCUCUGUAUUACUUAUUGUUUCGCUUCUUUUUUACAGAUACUUUCGUAAUUUUCGUAAUGAUAGAAGAACACAUUAUACAAUUUUUGUAGGUAUUUAAAUACACCCAUAUUAUAGGUAUAACGUCGAGUAAAAUAAUUUUCGAUGAAAUAAUCGAAUCUGUUAGACCGUCAUAAAAAUACACUAAUCUAUGUUACCAUAUGUUAAACGAAAAUCAGGUCGGUAUUAGGUAUUAAGUUCUAGGUACCUAUGCCGCUGGAGAGAAGUUGUAAUGAAAAAAGAGGCUUCAUUAAAACAGCUUUCCGAAUCGCGAUAGUCAUUUUUUUUUGGUCUACCGGAUCGAGAGCAAAGCUGAUAGCAGUAGAGAUGGAAAAAACAAUGUCAUCGGUUUUGUAAAUCGGAGGGUUAUGUACAAACUCCAUAGUCCACAUUUCAGGUGUGUUUAUUAUGUUUUUUUUUAUUUAAAUCACGACGUAUCAUUAAAGCGUCGGCUUUAUAACUAAUUACUGUUAUCGUUUUAUCAAAUUAUUUUCAGAAAUGUCGUUGACCAUCUUUUACCUGCAAUUACUUCAAAAACCCGCGAACAGCAAAAAUGCAUGUCAAGGAUUCACAAAGGGGUUAUACACAAGACUUAUGUAAAUAUAAAGAAGCACUUUUUACAUAUUCAGAAUAAUUAUUCACAUUUAAAGUUGUACUUAGGUUAUUUAUAUAAUUUCUAUUACAAUGGACUAAAAUAAAAAAAGAAAAAGAAAUUGUAACAAAGAAUACCCAAUAACAAAG